CCUACGUGAGGCAGCAGUGAGGAAUAUUGGUCAAUGGGCGCGAGCCUGAACCAGCCAAGUCGCGUGAGGGAAGACGGUCCUAUGGAUUGUAAACCUCUUUUGUCGGGGAGCAAAAGACGCCACGCGUGGCGUUCCGAGAGUACCCGAAGAAAAAGCAUCGGCUAACUCCGUGCCAGCAGCCGCGGUAAUACGGAGGAUGCGAGCGUUAUCCGGAUUUACUGGGCGUAAAGGGUGUGCAGGCGGCUGAGUAAGACAGAUGUGAAAUCCCCGGGCUUAACCUGGGAACCGCAUAUGUGAAUGCUUGGCUAGAGUGCGUCAGAGGGAGGUGGAAUUCCACGUGUAGCAGUGAAAUGCGUAGAUAUGUGGAAGAACACCGAUGGCGAAGGCAGCCUCCUGGGACGCAACUGACGCUCAUACACGAAAGCGUGGGGAGCAAACAGGAUUAGAUACCCCUGUAGUC
rnacentral:rRNA from 1 species